rnacentral:tRNA from 1 species
GGGCGAGUGGCGGAAUUGGUAGACGCACUGGAUUUAGGUUCCAGCGUAGCGAUACGUGAGAGUUCGAGUCUCUCCUCGCCCACCA